UAGAAAAAAAUCCUAAAGCCACUGUCUGGUUCUCAAAAAGAGGCUUCAACAUCAAGCUCUCCAACUACCGUUUUUCGCUAAAAAAAAAAAAAAAAAAAAACAUCAAGCUCUCCAAGCGCGAGACAACAGGAAAUUAAGAAUGAAUCUCCAGAAUUUUCGAAGCCCUCAAUACCUUUGUCAACCUCUUCGAAGCUACUUGAGACUUCAUCGACAGAACCUGCUGUGGAAAAAGGUAUAGCAACACUUGAGUACGAAAUUUCAAACUCAGGUGGAGAUGUAUGUCCUGGCUCCUUGAGGGGUGUUUGUGCAUCAUUUAUUCCACGUUAGUGGUGCAGAAAAUAGAUUCCACGUUAGGCCAAUUUAAAAAGAUAAAGACUGAGAUUUGAUCUUGUUAUCAAUUGGAUGAUAAGUACAAGAUCAUUGUAAGGGACCUUAUUGCUGGUGUUAUUCAAUUGGUGAAUCUAGGAUAUAUGGGAGAACUAAAGAUUCAAGACAUUGCUAUUAUUAAUGGUCGUGCCAAAUUGAUGAGAAUCUCAAAUGAACUUGGAGUGAGUAAGCUAAGGGACCGAUUACAAAAACUAUUGGAAGACUUAUUGGGAAAUGAUCGUAACAAUAAGGAGUUGAACGAUUUGUACUUUCAUAUGAAAACAAUGUCAAUGCAGAAACUUAUUCAUUUGAGAGAUCAUCCAAUGCUGUUGACAUCUCAAGAGAGACUUCAAUUCCAAGUAUUAUCACUUAUGUCGCUUAAUUAUGACAGAAAGACGUCAGAUUGGAGAGCUAAAUAUGAUGGUCUAUAUAAAGAGCAAAAGGUUGACAUAGUGAAAAGAGUUGAGAAGGAUCCAGAAUAUAAAAAGGUGUUCGAGUACAAAAUUCUCUCAAAUAGUGCAUCGAGCCAGAUUAUUUUCUCUCGGAAUGUCAUAAUACACAUUAAUGAUGAUAGGCAAUGUUGAGAAGUAUGGAGAUCUACUCAGUCAUUGGAGAGCUACUUUGAAGCUUUGCAUCUUGGAAAAUGAUGAUUUGGCAACAGAGCAUUUCUUGAAAAUAUGCAGAUCAUUUCUUUCUCUUAUAGAUAUUUAUUUAUAUACGAGGGCUGAAAAAUGUGAAGCCAUUUCAAGCCUUUUGACCAUGAUCAAGGACCAAAUUCUUACAGUGGAAUAAAAGUUUCUACAAGAUCAAUUUAAAUAUAGAAAAUUGGUGUGGAUAUUUAAAGAUGACAAUGUCAGCAGCACAUCUACAAAGUUAGCGGAGGAUAAUUGUACAAGUUGAAUCAAUUUUUUAAUGAGGUUUUUAAAGUUCGUAGCACUUAUUCUACACUUUUAUGCUCAGAAUGCUGAUGGUGAUGUAAAAAGAAUGUUUGAAACUGCCUAUAGCAACUUAUUAAGGGACCAUCCAGACUUGAAAAGUCUAAAGAAACUCAGUAAUUUACUUGAAAGUCUUCCUAGCAAUAAAGAAUUCAAGUCAUUGCUAGGCAAUCCUAAAAACAUCAAAGAUUGUGGGAAAAGUGUAGCACAAUCCCUUAUGAUUUUGACAAAUUGUUGGCAUAAACUAUCGAACGAGAAGAAUGCUAACAGAAAGCAAGGUGCUGGAGGUGGAAUUGUUGCUACUACAAGUGCUUUUGCUGUAACUGAAACAACUGCAAGGGCUGGAGAAGCAAGGGUUGUUGUUGCAAGUUCUGGAGAUUCAGUGGUUGAUGCUACGAGUGUUGGAAUUCAACAACUGGUGGUGGUACUAACAGUCAACGUGUGGUGGUGCCAACUGUGGAAAAGGCCAUUCCAAGGGUGCAGUCCAAGAAGAAGAAGAAGAAGAAACCUUAAUUUGAGCACAUAUAACUAGGCAUUAACAAUAAUAUGUUUUAUGUAAUCCACAUACAUUUGGUAGUGAAAAUUUUGGAGCUUUAAGUGAUAUAGAUUCUGUAACUAAAG